rnacentral:rRNA from 1 species
UACGGGGGGGAGCAAGCGUUGUUCGGAUUUACUGGGCGUAAAGGGCGCGUAGGCGGCGUGACAAGUCACUUGUGAAAUCUCCGGGCUUAACUCGGAACGGUCAAGUGAUACUGUCGUGCUAGAGUACAGAAGGGGCAACUGGAAUUCUCGGUGUAGCGGUGAAAUGCGCAGAUAUCAGGAGGAACACCGGUGGCGAAGGCGGGUCUCUGGGCCGAUACUGACGCUGAGGAGCGAAAGCGUGGGGAGCGAACAGG